UCAGCAAAAAAAAUCUGGGAUUAUCUGAAGGGAGAAUAUACAGGAGAUGAAAGAAUACGAGGCAUGAAGGUGUUGAAUUUAAUAAGGGAAUUCGAGUUGCAGAAAAUGAAGGAAUCUGAGAUUGUAAAAGAAUACUAUGAUCGGUUGCUUGGCAUUGUUAACAAGGCACAAGAGCAAAGGAGGCUUAUGAGGCAAGAUGGUAUGGUUGAAGGAGCCCUGGCAGCCAACCACAAAACUCAAAGCAAGGGUAAUAAU